CUGCCUUGCACAUGCUAUCACAGCAAGAAGGAGAAAGGAGGAUCCAGGGCCAGUCAUCUACUGGAAAGAAGAUAAGAAUAUGAUAAAAAGUACUGUCAGAAAUUAAAAGAAGAUUGGACAUGUACUCUUUCAAGUCAGUAGUUGCAGGCUGAGCAGAGGAGAGUCGCCAACUAUGGGAACUCUGAGAAAAGGAUUGAUUUUUGACUGAUAUAAAGAUGCCCUCAAUUCAUCUAUGUAUAUCUACUAUGCUAGCCCUUGCAGCCAGUGUUAAAAGAUUCUUACAGGAAAAUCAUAGAAGCUCUCUCAGCCUUUGAUUGUGCCUUGUACUGAG